GAUGAACGCUGGCGGCGUGCCUAAUACAUGCCAGUCGAGCGAACGGACGAGAAGCUUGCUUCUCUGAUGUUAGCGGCGGACGGGUGAGUAACACGUGGAUAACCUACCUAUAAGACUGGGAUAACUUCGGGAAACCGGAGCUAAUACCGGAUAAUAUUUUGAACCGCAUGGUUCAAAAGUGAAAGACGGUCUUGCUGUCACUUAUAGAUGGAUCCGCGCUGCAUUAGCUAGUUGGUAAGGUAACGGCUUACCAAGGCAACGAUGCAUAGCCGACCUGAGAGGGUGAUCGGCCACACUGGAACUAAGACACGGUCCAGACUCCUACGGGAGGCAGCAGUAGGGAAUCUUCCGCAAUGGGCGAAAGCCUGACGGAGCAACGCCGCGUGAGUGAUGAAGGUCUUCGGAUCGUAAAACUCUGUUAUUAGGGAAGAACAUAUGUGUAAGUAACUGUGCACAUCUUGACGGUACCUAAUCAGAAAGCCACGGCUAACUACGUG
rnacentral:rRNA from 1 species